UACGUAGGGUGCAAGCGUUUGUCCGGAAUUAUUGGGCGUAAAGAGCUCGUAGGCGGUUUGUCGCGUCUGCUGUGAAAUCUGGAGGCUCAACCUCCAGCCUGCAGUGGGUACGGGCAGACUAGAGUGCGGUAGGGGAGAUUGGAACUCCUGGUGUAGCGGUGGAAUGCGCAGAUAUCAGGAAGAACACCGAUGGCGAAGGCAGAUCUCUGGGCCGUAACUGACGCUGGAGGAGCGAAAGCAUGGGGAGCGAACAGG
rnacentral:rRNA from 1 species